rnacentral:rRNA from 1 species
CCUACGGGAGGUAGCAGUGGGGAAUAUUGCGCAAUGGGCGAAAGCCUGACGCAGCGAAGCCGCGUGAGGGAUGAAGGUCUUCGGAUCGGAAACCUCUGUCAGCAGGGAAGAAAGGCCAGUGUGCUAAUCAGCAGUGAAUUGACGGUACCUGCAAAGGAAGCACCGGCUAACUCCGUGCCAGCAGCCGCGGUAAUACGGAGGAUGCGAGCGUUAAUCGGAUUUACUGGGCGUAAAGCGCGCGUAGGCGGUAUGUCAAGUCAAGGGUGAAAUCCCCGCGCUCAACGUGGGAAUUGCCUUUGAAACUGGCAAACUGGAGUGUGUUAGAGGCUAGUGGAA